rnacentral:rRNA from 1 species
AUUGAACGCUGGCGGCAUGCUUUACACAUGCAAGUCGAACGGUAACAGGGAGCUUGCUCCGCUGACGAGUGGCGAACGGGUGAGUAAUGCGUCGGAACGUGCCGAGUAGUGGGGGAUAACGCAUCGAAAGGUGUGCUAAUACCGCAUACGUACUGAGGUAGAAAGUGGGGGACCUUCGGGCCUCACGCUAUUCGAGCGGCCGACGUCUGAUUAGCUAGUUGGUGAGGUAAAGGCUCACCAAGGCGACGAUCAGUAGCGGGUCUGAGAGGAUGAGCCGCCACGCUGGGACUGAGACACGGCCCAGACUCCUGCGGGAGGCAGGAGUGGGGAAUUUUGGACAAUGGGCGCAAGCCUGAUCCAGCCAUGCCGCGUGUCUGAAGAAGGCCUUCGGGUUGUAAAGGACUUUUGUCCGGGAGCAAAUGCCUGGUGUUAAUAGCACUGGGAGCUGAGAGUACCGGAAGAAUAAGCACCGGCUAACUACGUGCCAGCAGCCGCGGUAAAAC